AACUUUUCAAUAACUCUAGAUUGUCACAAGUCAGGACUGAAGUAACUAUAAUAAUAUUUAAAUUUAAAAGACAAAUUGAAUCCAUCAUUUAAAAAAAAGUUAUCAUAUUAAAACAAAAAUUUAUUCAUUCACCAUAUUGUUUUAUAAAUACAAAUUCAGGCUUAUGAUGACAAUAUAAAAUAGUUAAAAAUAAAGAAAUAAAAAAAUAUCAAUUUUCACCAAAUUUGUCCCCUUUAAAUUGAUGUAUA
rnacentral:lncRNA from 1 species